rnacentral:rRNA from 1 species
UAACACCAGCAGCCCAAGUGGUGGUCGCGUUUAUUGGGCCUAAAGCGCUUGUAGCCGGGCCGGUAAGUCCCUUGUGAAAUCGGACGGCCCAACCGUUCGGCUUGCAAGGGAUACUGUCGGUCUUGGGGUCGGAAGAGGUCGGAGGUACUUCGGGGGUAGCGGUGAAAUGCUGUAAUCCCCGGGGGACCACCAGUGGCGAAGGCGUCCGACCAGAACGAACCCGACGGUGAGGGGCGAAAGCUUGGGGAGCGAACGGGAUUAGAUACCCCGGUAGUCCAAGCCGUAAAGCAUGCGGGUCAGGUGUAGAGCGUCCCUUGAGGGCGCUCGGUGCCGUAGGGAAGCCGUUAAGCCCGCCGCCUGGGAAGUACGGUUGCAAGGCUG